UCUUCAAACAUACCGAUAGAUGGCGUGAGAGUCUUUUAAACUGUUAAAGUCCGCCCUCCUACCACAGAAUAAGUGGCUGUGCCUUGGGCGGACCGAAACACGAGAUACAUAAACCAGUGGUCUCUUUUGUUUCUAUCUAUUGAUCCUGUGUUGCAUUGGGGAAAACAUGGCGGAGGCAGACCGACCAGGGAAACUCUUCAUCGGUGGCCUCAACACUGAAACGACCGAGAAGGUUCUUGAAGCAUAUUUCAGCAAAUUCGGCAGAAUAGCAGAAGUUCUUUUGAUGAAGGAUCGAGAAACAAACAAAUCCAGAGGUUUCGCUUUUGUAACCUAUGAGAAUCCUGGCGACGCUAAAGAUGCUGCAAGGGAAAUGAAUGGCAAGCCCCUUGAUGGAAAGCCUAUUAAAGUGGAACAGGCCACAAAGCCCCAGUUUGAGUCUUCAGGACGUCGUGGUCCACCACCAGUUAGUCCAAGAAGUCGAGGUCCUGCCAGAGGCCCACGCGGGUCCAGAGGAGCACCAAGUGGAAUGCGAGGACCACCUAGCAGAGAACCCUUUUUUAAAGGUAUAUCAUCCAGAGGACCACCCCCACAGAAAAGAGGACCCCCUGUGCGAAAUGGAGGGCCCCCACCCAAGAGAUCUGCACCGUCGGGGCCAAUGGGCAGACGCGAUUUUGCACCAAUGUCAAGGGACAGGGACCCAUAUGGUCCCCCUCCCCGCAGGGAUUCACUGAUGUCGAGAAGGGAUGAUGGUCCUUCACCACGUGAUGAUCAUUACAGUACUAAAGACAGUUAUUCCAGCCGUGACUACAUGAGCUCACGUGACUCUAGGGACUACGGCCCUCCUCCGCGAGACUACCCAUAUCGGGAGUAUCCAACCCAUUCCAGUUCCAGAGAUGAAUAUGGGUCAGCAUCCAGAGGCUACAGCGAUCGUGAUGGCUAUGGUGGUGGACGAGAGCCUAGGGGUUAUAUGGAGCGACCCAGUACAGGCUCCUAUAGAGAACCCUACGAUGGUUACGUUUUCCUCAGUGCAAAUGGAUCCUUCAUCGCAAAGCCUAAACAUUGACUGCUUGCAUCGACCAAUCCAAAGACAACCAAAAAGCAAGAAACAAUUCAGCACCACAGAUAAAACCUGUCGACAGCUGGUAAGCAAAGCAAACCCUUUUGUUCUGGUAUAAGUGGCGUCUCGGUGUAAUUUGAAGCCUUAAGGUUAGUGUAAUUUUAGUCAAACGCCAUCUUUGUUAACCUGGCUUUACAAAUGCAGUUCGGUUGACUGAAAUGUUUUAAAAUUUCCAACAUGCUUAACCAAACGUCACCUGUCUACAAAGGAGUCUAUGAGCCACUGGAUCAUUGAGUUUAGGAGCUCUUAGUCUAAAAAAAACUUCAGAUUUCUACUGUUGCAAAGGAGAAAAUGUCUGGAUUUUUACCCCUUCGUCACAUAUUAAACGCAAAAAAUGCCCCUAUUCUUUUAAAGGAUAUUAAGAUGAAUCUCUUCAAAGGAUCUAUAUCUACAGCAAAAUGUAAAGCAAAUCCCCGCAAAACUUCUCAACCUCACAAUGGGACCAUUUUAAAGUUUUAGUAAAUUCACUUAGUGUUAAAAGCCAGAGUUGCUCUCAAAGCAUGCAAAUCCUAAAAAGGAGACCACGUGGAGAAAAAACGCGCCUUUUCAACAGCCUGGAAAACCGUUCAGAUUGUAUUGAGUUCUUUUUGUAAUACACUACUUUUAAAUUUGUCCCCCAAAGUCUGCUAUAACAAUUUGCUGACUGUAACUCUCUUAUUGCAGGAUAAAUGGAAGAAUCAAAGCCUGAUGAUGAUCUUCUUACUUUGCUGAUCAGCACCUGUUGGUCGCAGUGAAUAAGAUGCUUGCGUUACGAAGCAGAUUGUCCGGUUCCGUAGGCAACAACUGUUUCAAGUUCAUGUGGAUGGAGUCAUUUGGGAUGCUGCAGAUUUACAAAUGAAUAUUUGACUGACUUUGUUUUUAUCCCAAUAAACUAAUUUAUUUGAAA